AAGUAAAUAAUGUAAAUAUAUAAUAUAUGAAUUAUCUAUAUAAUAAUAAGUAAAUACACAACUUUUUUUAAAAAAUGGAAAAAGUUCAUUAAGCAUUAAACAUCUAUCUUAAAAUGUAAAAUAUAUAAUAUAAGUUAAUACACAAUUUGAAAAAAUGGAAAAAGUACAUUAAGAUUUAAAUAUCUAUUUUAAAAUAUAAAAUAUAGAUAUUACGUAAAAAAAUUUAAGAAAUGGAAAUAAACAUUUUAAAAAAUAGAAAAAGAACAUUAAGAUUUAAGCAUCUAUCUUAAAAUGUACAUCUAUCUUAAAAUGGUAGUAAAUUAUAUUAAAAUGGAAAUACCAUAUUAAACAAAAAAAAAUAAAAAUGUAUAGUUUUACAUCAAGAAAGUCCCUAUAAAACUCAUUAUAACAUCAACAUCAACCUCACACUAUGAUGGAUUGGUGAGUCUAACGUGAAGACAAAAAUAUAAAUAU
rnacentral:lncRNA from 1 species